CGGCGGAGUGGUGUUUGGCGUGUUAUGUGUGAUGGAUCCCUGCUCUGGCAGCGACAUCAUUUCGUCCACGCCUCUUCAGUUUUCUGGUGCGAGCAUUCGCUUGCCCGAAGUCGGUUUAUUCCUGUAUUGAAUACCCGUAUUCAAGGCAUUGUGUUGGAUAAAUUGUCCCUUUCCCGCCUUGUGCUGCUGCCCACCAGUGGGCGGUUGGUGCGGGGUGGGCCAAACAGUGCAUGCCGUUUGUCCCAUCUCACUGCCCUCAUAAAAGGGCAUUCGGGCUGAUGACACUCGACAUGCUACUCGUUCUCUUGGGUCCGGAACAUUGCGUGGGAACGGGGCCACUGGCCUCGAAGCACCACAAACAAAGCGUUCUACGCUUCGUGCGAACGACAGUUGGUUCGGCCUCUGGCUGGGCACUCGUUGCCUGGUUCGGAGCCGUGCCGGCGUCGAUGAGGAAUGCUACCUG
rnacentral:misc_RNA from 1 species